UCUCUCGUUGCUCUUCCGGAAUCCGACCUCGACUCCCACGUUUUCUCAUCGAAGACGCUAACUCUGGCGACCGGAACCCUAGCCCACGACAAUGCACGGCGAGCAGAUACGCCGUGCGGCUCGCGAAGAUGUUUCCCCUCUAAGAUUGUGAGGUUCGCUCUCAAUUAAAAGUCAAGGCUGCUGCCAAUGUUUGUUCGCAUCAUCAGGAAGAGCUUUAAGAUCCUUUUAUCCUUUUCCAUUUCAACGCCACUGUCGCCACAUCAUGGAAUGGCAGUCUUAUGCACUUUCAAAUGACAUACUGGAUUUCGAUAUCCUGCAUUGCAGGCAAAGUCUAGACCUCCAAUGCCUGUUUUGGCUGUUAUCUUCCUACGGAAGGAACCAGAUUCAAUGGAGUCAAGUUCUUUUAGCAUUACACAGUCCAUGUGAGGAUCUGAUAGCAACCUCACAAACACAGUUGGGAAGCAUAAUGUGGAUACAUAUGAAGCUUCCAUUCCAUCGAAUUACUAGCUUCGUAAUCCAUGUUUAUUUGCAUGGUGAGACUUCCUUA